CUCGGUGAGCUCUCUCUCGGUGAGCUCUCUCUCGGUGGGCUCUCUCUCGGUGGGCUCGGUGUUUGAACUUCGGGGUGAAGGCGGGGACCACGACCCGUGACGUACUCUCGGAACAGAUGCAAACUUCAGCAGUCGUUGUGUGACGGCCGUAGAGAACAUCUGUGGAGAACAUUCGUGAACAAACAGCAUCAUGAAGACCAAGGAGCCCAGGAGAAAGGAGGGUAAAGAUUGGAAGAGCUCCCAUGGUAACUAUGGAGGAGCUGCAGAGAGGAAGUCUUAUUUAGAGGGUUUGGAGAAGAUCCUCUUGCAAGAUGAGAUCCAAAUGUAACAUGUCCGCCUGCAUACAAAACACUGCUGUGUACUCUGAAAACACCAUCCACACCAGAAAACUGGGUGCUGGCAGCAUUAUGCAGUGGGAAUGCUUUUCUUCAGAAGGGUGAUGGAAGCUGAGCAGAGCUGAUAGGAUGCAUGGAACUUAAUACAGAGCAGUCCUGGUAGUUACAUUUAUUUAGAUAUAUUAACUUCAGUAACAUUUAGGGAAAUAUUACCUUUAGGGGUGUUUUUACCAUGCUGUACUUUUUACUUUUUACUUGAGUAAUUGUAUUAUUUCAUAAUUUCACUGCUCUUACU